rnacentral:rRNA from 1 species
GAUGAACGCUGGCGGCGUGCCUAACACAUGCAAGUCGAGCGAACCCUUCGGGGUGAGCGGCGGACGGGUGAGUAACGCGUGGGUAACCUGCCCUAUACACACGGAUAACGUACCGAAAGGUACGCUAAUACGGGAUAAAGUUGUUGGAUGGCAUCUUCUAACAAUCAAAGCUCCGGCGGUAUAGGAUGGACCCGCGUCUGAUUAGCUAGUUGGUGAGGUAAUGGCUCACCAAGGCGACGAUCAGUAGCCGACCUGAGAGGGUGAUCGGCAAAACUGGAACUGAGACACGGUCCAGAAUCCUACGGGAGGCAGCAGUGGGGAAUAUUGCACAAUGGGCGAAAGCCUGAUGCAGCAACGCCGCGUGAGCGAUGAAGGUCUUCGGAUCUUAAAGCUCUGUCCUCAAGGAAGAUAAUGACGGUACUUGAGGAGGAAGCCCCGGCUAACUACGUGCCAGCAGCCGCCGUAA